CCUGCUGGGCAGGUGAUUGUAUUCUGUCUUGAGUUCAAAGAGGAAACAGGACUCCAUGGAUCAGGUCAGCACAGCUAAAUGGGAAUUCACAGCAUCUGAAGCAAAUCCCAGAAAUGGUUAGGUAGGGUAACAGUUGUUCAAGUGGGAAUCACAAGCAGCUGUAUGGAUCAGUCAUACCACAUGGUCUCGUUUAGUUCUGAAAUAACUUUGUGGCUCUUAUCCCUUCCCUUACUUGUUUCCUGUAUGCAAAUGAUGACUGGACUUUUUCCCUCUUCUCCUACUGAAUCCUGUAUCUUUGAAUGCUCAGCAAAGUUUGUUGUCUGCAUACAUAUUUGCAAAUAGCUGGAACAUCAGUGGAGUCAGACACAGGAAUCCAGCUUUCUCAGCAAGAGGGCACCAGCAAACUGGAAUGGGACAGAGAAGAAAGUUGCUCCUUGGUGAUGCAAGCAAGAAGAGCUGUGUCUGACCCAUGCUUGAACACUAGGCAAAGGUGGGUGCCUGGGCUCUCUUUGGCUGGGCCUGCUCCCAAGCCCUGGCUGUGUUACUGGAAAGGACGUGGACUGUGAAUUCCUUGCUCAUGUUCUGCUGUAGAGUGACACAUUUGUCUUUUCUUCCUUGCGUCUGGGACAGUGUGUGAACUAAGCAUUUCUUUAGGAUUGCUGGGCUCAAGCCAUCACAGGCAGCACCUUGCUGGUGGGAGCUUUGCUACCUGUGAACAGCAGGGCCAGUGUGAACAGAGUAGCUUCUGCUGGGGGAGAGGCAUGUGUGGGGAGGUACCAUGAGCAGGGCACGUUUUACUGCCAUUAGCAGGAGAUGUGAAUCUCCUCUUCUGGUGGCUUGCUUCAGCUGCUGGAGUGCCGGAGGAGCCUGUGUGUUGGAGCAGGAUUUAAGGUGGUGCUUCACCAGGGACAGGCCUGACAUGACAUGCUACAGUUUUAACACUGUACAGGAUGUGUUGUUAUUAUAUAUCAUCGUUGUAUAUAUCAUCAUUGUGAGAAGAAGCUAAUUUAAGACCCCUGAUCAGUCUCUCUGUUGAAGUUUUUUCCAAUGACUUCAACCAUUUGUAAAUGCCUUCUCUCAGAAAUCAUUUGCCUUUAUGAGCUGCUUGCAUUUUUUGUACUGUACAUCCCAGUUUGAUCAUUGUUAAUUAGUGUCGUGCCUCUGUGUUUUACAGCAAGCAGAAUUAUUUCUCUUACUAAUGGCUCUUUGCUGCUACUAAAUUCCUAUUCUACUCAUUGAGCAUGAAAGUUCCUUUUUCUUCCCUCACUGCAUUUCUUUGCUACCUUUGACUUAUCUGAAGUGGUUGACUGGCAAAAGUUUCUCUUUUGUAAACAAGCGGAUUAAAGGGAAAGGUGUUGGAUUAAAGAUGACAGACCCCAAUCUGAUCCUAUGAAAAUCAAUGGCAAAUCUCCCAUAAGCCACAGUGAAAACAAUGCCAGAAAGAAAAGGGCUCUCCAGGUGCAAUAUUAGUGUGAUUUUAAAGGAAAGUGGAAUGCAGUAUUCUUCAUCUCCCCUCUUGUUUGUAGUUGCCUUUUUUUGGAGUGUAGCAUUUCUGGUGAGUUAGCAAAAUGCAGCUUUUGUACAGGGAAUUUGUGAAUGCUUUAUUACAAUUAAAAACACAGAGUAAGAGCUCAUGCCAUUGUCCUGAGUUUGGAUAUCCUUGAGCAAAAAAAAAAGCUGUUGAGUGCUGGCUAUCCGAAUAAAGGCUCAGUACAUACGAAGGUUCUAAAAUAA
rnacentral:lncRNA from 1 species